GACGAAUCUAGGUUCAGUUGAACGUAGACUGGAGAUCCAACUUGUAGCUCUGAACGGGAAAUCAAACGUGUGACAGGACUGGAACCUAUUCUGUUCGGUAUGUUUCGCCAGUGCAACAAUGAAUACCAAAAAUCGGAUCCGCUCUCUUCUAAUUUCUUCAUUAUAUGCUUAGUGAUUUUCACUGCUGAUUCUGCCUUCCCAUUCGCUUGUUGAUGGUAGGGAGCAGACGCAACCAACUCGAAGUCCCAAUCAGCAGCAAACUUAAACAUUUUGAAACUGGUAAAUUUUUUACCGUUGUCAGACACUACUCUUUGCGGUACUCCAAAACGGGAAAAAUUUUGUUUGCAUGCUGCGAUAACACACUCGGGAGUCAAAUCCUUCAAGACAUUACCUCAAAAAAAUCGAACGCAUCGAAAGAAAGCCCGGUUCCGGACGGCCGACGACCCUGAGCGACAAGAAGCCAAAAAGACAAGAACAGUGCUUGGCGAACAUGGACAUACAAGUCAGGAAGCAGUCCCGUUCACUAGUCUCGGAGCUGCAAGUAAUGACGCAGCGGCAGCGCCUGAAUAAGAUGGUCAAAUCGAUUUCCCCGGCAAUUCACGACGUGGUGGCGGUGAUGGACGACGAGACCUGUCUCAUCCUGGAUGGCAACGACUGGUAGGGCACUUUGUAUUUUACUUCCCCCACGACAGAAGUAAGCACUAAGGUGAAAUUUCUUUCACACACCAAGUUCCCCAAGAGGGUGCUGCUGUGGCUGACAAUCAGCGAGAAUGGGAUGUCAAAGCUGCUCUUUUUUCGCUCCGGACUGGCCGUGAACAGGGGAAUUAAAAACACGAGGUUCCUGCCGGAAGUUGCUUCGGUCACCAAAAAAUACCAUAAGGCCGAAGACACGGUGUUUUGGCCGGAUCUGGAGUCGGCUCACUAUUCGAAGAGAUCGUUUGAGGAAAUGGAACGGCUAAAUGUCGAUGUACCCAAGUUGGCGAACCCGCCCAACGCCCCCAAGUUGCGUCUAAUCGAGGAUUUCUGGCAAGCCUGAAGCGUAAGAUCUACUCCAACAAUUUUGUCACGAAAUUUGAGAAGGAAUUGAUAAAUAAAACGAAAAAAUAACUAAAAAACAUGCCUACACGCAUGUUUUCGUCUGCCAUGGCGAACGUUUCGGUUAACUGCCGAAACUCCGCACGCGAGAUCGUAGAUUUUUUCUGCAAUUAUUUUUUACCAUCAUCAGAAAAAAAUCCAUUUUUUAACGCAUACGUAAGCACAAAAAAAAACAUUUUUAGCCGAUUGAAACACCUGUGUAAAGUAUCAGCCAGAUCAAAAAUAAUUGACUAAAAUGCUUGCCCUAUGUUACGUGGAAUUGCACAGGUUUUUCGGUUGAUCCAUUAAGGACAUUGCAGCGGCAAAAGUACCGGGCACCGGCCUGCAUCAACUAACUUGGAGUAUUGGAACCGAGCUGUGACAAUUCCUUACCUUGAUUCUCUGAUAACCUCACUGGAAACACGGUUCAGUGAAGAUAGUGCACCUGCCUACGCGUUGUCCUUGCUGCAUCCUGCUAACGUAAUUCGCAAGCCGUUGGAAGAGUUCAAGCGCAAAACCGGAGCUUUCGUAAUUUUUCACGAAGUUGACAAUUUUGUUGGACAAGUGGAAGCCUGGUAUCAACAUUGCAACAGCAUGAGAGCAGACGGUAAGAACUUGGAAGAACGGGAUCUUAUAGACCUGCUUGCUGAAGCCCGUUCAUUUUUCCCUGCUACUGAGAAAGCAAUUAAAAUUGCACUUGCUCUACCAUGUACAACAUGCACGAUUGAACUCUUGUUCAGCACAUUACGUCGGGUGAAAACCUGGCUGAGGUCAACAAUGGUUGAGUGCUCUCUGCUUGCUAAGUGUUCAUCGGCAGAUGGUUAACAACAAUCGUGGAAAAAUUACUAAAUUAGCGCUGGAGCAAUUUGCGGAGGAUAAAAGGAAGAUGGUUUUUAAUUAACGACGUUGUUAUUGUUAUCUUUUUACGGUAGAUUUAGCGUAAAUUAAAUUACAGUAGUUUAGUUUAGUGUUAAUAAAAAAAUGAAAUUUAGU